rnacentral:rRNA from 1 species
UACGUAGGGCGCAAGCGUUGUCCGGAAUUAUUGGGCGUAAAGAGCUCGUAGGCGGCCAGUUGCGUCUGCUGUGAAAUCCCGGGGCUCAACCCCGGGCGUGCAGUGGAUACGGGCUGGCUAGAGGCAGGCAGGGGAGAACGGAAUUCCCGGUGUAGCGGUGAAAUGCGCAGAUAUCGGGAGGAACACCGGCGGCGAAGGCGGUUCUCUGGGCCUGUACUGACGCUGAGGAGCGAAAGCGUGGGGAGCGAACAGG